AGUGAACGCUGGCGGCAGGCCUAACACAUGCAAGUCGAGCGGCAGCGGGUCCCCGCGAGGGGAUGCCGGCGAGCGGCGGACGGGUGAGGAACACAUCGGAAUCUGCCUGGUUGUGGGGGAUAACGUAGGGAAACUUACGCUAAUACCGCAUGCGACCCUGAGUCGACGGACUUGGGGUGAAAGUGAGGGACCUUCGGGCCGUCACGCGACCAGAUGAGCCGAUGUCGGAUUAGCUAGUUGGCGGGGUAACGGCCCGCCAAGGCGACGAUCCGUAGCUGGUCUGAGAGGAUGAUCAGCCACACUGGGACUGAGACACGGCCCAGACUCCUACGGGAGGCAGCAGUGGGGAAUCUUGGACAAUGGGCGCAAGCCUGAUCCAGCCAUGCC
rnacentral:rRNA from 1 species